rnacentral:rRNA from 1 species
GCCCAGACUCCUACGGGAGGCAGCAGUGGGGAAUAUUGGACAAUGGGGGGAACCCUGAUCCAGCGACGCCGCGUGAGUGAAGAAGUAUUUCGGUAUGUAAAGCUCUCUCAGCAGGGAAGAAAGAAAUGACGGUACCUGACUAAGAAGCCCCGGCUAACUACGUGCCAGCAGCCGCGGUAAUACGUAGGGGGCAAGCGUUAUCCGGAUUCACUGGGUGUAAAGGGAGCGUAGACGGCGACGCAAGUCUGGAGUGAAAGCCCGGGGCCCAACCCCGGGACUGCUCUGGAAACUGCGUCGCUGGAGUACGGGAGGGGCAGGCGGAAUUCCUAGUGUAGCGGUGAAAUGCGUAGAUAUUAGGAGGAACACCAGUGGCGAAGGCGGCUUACUGGACUGUAACUGACGUUGAGGCUCGAAAGCGUGGGGAGCAAACAGGAUUAGAUACCCGCGUA